rnacentral:tRNA from 1 species
CAAAGCAUCUCGCUUACACCGAGAGUACACCCGUGAGAAUCUGGUUAUUUCGA